rnacentral:rRNA from 1 species
AGAUUGAACGCUGGCGGCAGGCCUAACACAUGCAAGUCGAGCGGCAGCACGGGUACUUGUACCUGGUGGCGAGCGGCGGACGGGUGAGUAAUGCCUAGGAAUCUGCCUGGUAGUGGGGGAUAACGCUCGGAAACGGACGCUAAUACCGCAUACGUCCUACGGGAGAAAGCAGGGGACCUUCGGGCCUUGCGCUAUCAGAUGAGCCUAGGUCGGAUUAGCUAGUUGGUGAGGUAAUGGCUCACCAAGGCGACGAUCCGUAACUGGUCUGAGAGGAUGAUCAGUCACACUGGAACUGAGACACGGUCCAGACUCCUACGGGAGGCAGCAGUGGGAAUAUUGGACAAUGGGCGAAAGCCUGAUCCAGCCAUGCCGCGUGUGUGAAGAAGGUCUUCGGAUUGUAAAGCACUUUAAGUGGAGGAAGGCAGUUACCUAAUACGUAUCUGUUUUGACGUUACGACAGAAUAAGCACCGGCUAACUCUGUG